rnacentral:tRNA from 1 species
GGGGAUUUAGCUCAGUGGUAGAGCGCUUACCUAGGAAGCGCAAGGCCCUGGGUUCCGUCCCCAGGUCCCCA